AAUCAACGCUGGCGGCGUGCCUCAGACAUGCAAGUCGAACGCGAAAGUCCCCUUCGGGGGACAAGUAGAGUGGCGCACGGGUGAGUAACACGUAGGUAAUCCACCUUCGGAUGGGGAAUAACAACCGGAAACGGUUGCUAAUACCGCAUAAUGCAGCGGCACCUAAUGGUGACAGUUGUUAAAGCGGGGGAUCGAAAGACCUCGCGUCUGAAGAGGAGCCUGCGGCGGAUUAGCAGUUGGUAAGGUAACGGCUUACCAAGGCGACGAUCCGUAGCCGGCCUGAGAGGGCGGUCGGCCACACUGACACUGACAGUACGGGUCAGGACUCCUACGGGGAGGCAGCAGGUCGGGUAAUUUGGGCAAGUGGGCGAAAGCCUGACCCAGCAACGCCGCGU
rnacentral:rRNA from 1 species